rnacentral:rRNA from 1 species
CUCCAGUUGAUCGCAUGGUCUUCUGGGAAAGCUUUCGCGGUAUGGGAUGGGGUCGCGUCCUAUCAGCUUGACGGCGGGGUAACGGCCCACCGUGGCUUCGACGGGUAGCCGGCCUGAGAGGGCGACCGGCCACAUUGGGACUGAGAUACGGCCCAGACUCCUACGGGAGGCAGCAGUGGGGAAUAUUGCACAAUGGGCGCAAGCCUGAUGCAGCGACGCCGCGUGAGGGAUGGAGGCCUUCGGGUUGUAAACCUCUUUUAUCGGGGAGCAAGCGAGAGUGAGUUUACCCGUUGAAUAAGCACCGGCUAACUACGUGCCAGCAGCCGCGGUAAUACGUAGGGUGCAAGCGUUAUCCGGAAUUAUUGGGCGUAAAGGGCUCGUAGGCGGUUCGUCGCGUCCGGUGUGAAAGUCCAUCGCUUAACGGUGGAUCCGCGCCGGGUACGGGCGGGCUUGAGUGCGGUAGGGGAGACUGGAA